CAAAAUCAGUUAUGGGUUCUAUACUCUUGUCCCUCCUCCUUGUAAUAUCUCAAUCAAGAACAACAACAACAAAUGGUAGUGAAGAAGCUUCAACACAUAGUAGUUAUGGCAGUGACUCUCUCAAUCGCACCAGUUUUCCACCCGGUUUUACCUUUGGCACAGCCUCUGCUGCUUAUCAGUACGAAGGUGCAGCAAAUGAAGGUGGUAGAGGUCCUAGCAUAUGGGAUACCUUCACGCAUAGAUAUCCAGGU